UACAGAGGUCCCAAGCGUUGUUCGGAUUCACUGGGCGUAAAGGGUGCGUAGGUGGUCGGGUAAGUCUGAUGUGAAAUCUCUGGGCUCAACCCAGAAAUGGCAUUGGAUACUAUUCGGCUAGAGGAGUGGAGGGGGGACUGGAAUACUUGGUGUAGCAGUGAAAUGCGUAGAUAUCAAGUGGAACACCAGUGGCGAAGGCGGCGACCUGGGUUGACACUGACGCUGAGGCGCGAAAGCGUGGGGAGCAAACAGG
rnacentral:rRNA from 1 species